GAUGAACGCUGGCGGCGUGCCUAAUACAUGCAAGUCGAGCGAACAGACGAGGAGCUUGCUCCUCUGACGUUAGCGGCGGACGGGUGAGUAACACGUGGAUAACCUACCUAUAAGACUGGGAUAACUUCGGGAAACCGGAGCUAAUACCGGAUAAUAUAUUGAACCGCAUGGUUCAAUAGUGAAAGACGGUUUUGCUGUCACUUAUAGAUGGAUCCGCGCCGCAUUAGCUAGUUGGUAAGGUAACGGCUUACCAAGGCAACGAUGCGUAGCCGACCUGAGAGGGUGACGCGCCCCCCGGGAACUGAGCACCGGCCCAGACCCCAACGGGAGGCAGGAGGGGGAAAUCUUCCGCAAUGGGGAAAAGCCUGACGGGGCAACGCCGGGGGAGUGAAGAAGGUCUUCGGAUUGUAAAACUCUGUUAUUAGGGAAGAACAAAUGUGUAAGUAACUAUGCACGUCUGGACGGUACCUAAUCAGAAAGCCACGGCUAACUACGG
rnacentral:rRNA from 1 species